GAACCAGGGCUUGCCCUGGGGCCAAGCCGCGAACGGGUGAGUAACACGUGAGUAACCUGCCCCGAUGACCGGGACAACCCGAGGAAACUCGGGCUAAUACCGGAUGUGGCGCACGGACGUAAGUCCGUUCGCUAAAGGAAGCUUCGGCCUCCGCAUUGGGAGGGGCUCGCGGCCCAUUAGCUUGUUGGUGGGGUUACGGCCUACCAAGGCGACGAUGGGUAGCUGGUCUGAGAGGACGAUCAGCCACACUGGGACUGAGACACGGCCCAGACUCCUACGGGAGGCAGCAGUGGGGAAUCUUGCGCAAUGCGCGAAAGCGUGACGCAGCAACGCCGCGUGGGGGAAGACGGCCUUCGGGUUGUAAACCCCUUUCAGGAGGGACGAAGGCUCACCGGUGAAUAGCCGUGUGAGUUGACGGUACCUCCAGAAGAAGCUCCGGCUAACUACGUGCCAGCAGCCGCGGUAAUACGUAGGGAGCAAGCGUUGUCCGGAAUCAUUGGGCGUAAAGCGCACGUAGGCGGCCCUAUAAGUCCGCUGUGAAAGUCAAAGGCUCAACCUUUGAAAGCCGGUGGAUACUGUAGGGCUAGAGUCCGGAAGAGGCGAGUGGAA
rnacentral:rRNA from 1 species